rnacentral:rRNA from 1 species
ACAACGAAGAGUUUGAUCCUGGCUCAGGAUGAACGCUAGCGACAGGCUUAACACAUGCAAGUCGAGGGGCAGCGGGGGUAGCAAUACCCGCCGGCGACCGGCGCACGGGUGAGUAACGCGUAUGCAACUUACCUAUCAGAGGGGGAUAACCCGGCGAAAGUCGGACUAAUACCGCAUGAAGCAGGGGCCCCGCAUGGGGAUAUUUGCUAAAGAUUCAUCGCUGAUAGAUAGGCAUGCGUUCCAUUAGGCAGUUGGCGGGGUAACGGCCCACCAAACCGACGAUGGAUAGGGGUUCUGAGAGGAAGGUCCCCCACAUUGGUACUGAGACACGGACCAAACUCCUACGGGAGGCAGCAGUGAGGAAUAUUGGUCAAUGGCCGAGAGGCUGAACCAGCCAAGUCGCGUGAGGGAUGAAGGUUCUAUGGAUCGUAAACCUCUUUUAUAAGGGAAUAAAGUGCGGGACGUGUCCCGUUUUGUAUGUACCUUAUGAAUAAGGAUCGGCUAACUCCGUGCCAGCAGCCGCGGUAAUACGGAGGAUCCGAGCGUUAUCCGGAUUUAUUGGGUUUAAAGGGUGCGUAGGCGGCCUUUUAAGUCAGCGGUGAAAGUCUGUGGCUCAACCAUAGAAUUGCCGUUGAAACUGGGGGGCUUGAGUAUGUUUGAGGCAGGCGGAAUGCGUGGUGUAGCGGUGAAAUGCAUAGAUAUCACGCAGAACCCCGAUUGCGAAGGCAGCCUGCCAAGCCAUUACUGACGCUGAUGCACGAAAGCGUGGGGAUCAAACAGGAUUAGAUACCCUGGUAGUCCACGCAGUAAACGAUGAUCACUAGCUGUUUGCGAUACACUGUAAGCGGCACAGCGAAAGCGUUAAGUGAUCCACCUGGGGAGUACGCCGGCAACGGUGAAACUCAAAGGAAUUGACGGGGGCCCGCACAAGCGGAGGAACAUGUGGUUUAAUUCGAUGAUACGCGAGGAACCUUACCCGGGUUUGAACGCAUUCGGACCGAGGUGGAAACACCUUUUCUAGCAAUAGCCGUUUGCGAGGUGCUGCAUGGUUGUCGUCAGCUCGUGCCGUGAGGUGUCGGCUUAAGUGCCAUAACGAGCGCAACCCUUGCCACUAGUUACUAACAGGUAAAGCUGAGGACUCUGGUGGGACUGCCAGCGUAAGCUGCGAGGAAGGCGGGGAUGACGUCAAAUCAGCACGGCCCUUACAUCCGGGGCGACACACGUGUUACAAUGGCGUGGACAAAGGGAGGCCACCUGGCGACAGGGAGCGAAUCCCCAAACCACGUCUCAGUUCGGAUCGGAGUCUGCAACCCGACUCCGUGAAGCUGGAUUCGCUAGUAAUCGCGCAUCAGCCAUGGCGCGGUGAAUACGUUCCCGGGCCUUGUACACACCGCCCGUCAAGCCAUGGGAGCCGGGGGUACCUGAAGUCCGUAACCGAAAGGAUCGGCCUAGGGUAAAACUGGUGACUGGGGCUAAGUCGUAACAAGGUAGCCGUACCGGAAGGUGCGGCUGGAACACCUCCUUU